ACAGCUAGACCUCUGCAUCUCUGCAGUCCUGCUUCCAAGCAGUUUCUGAUCUCCUUGUUUUUCUUCCCCUGCUUUGCAGAUCCCCCUUCGCUGAAGGAAGUUGUGGAACCUUUAUGGUCUCCAUUUUCACUCAUGUCAUGUUCAGAGGAGUUUGGGAACUCCAGCCUUGACACCUCAGCCCUGAGCCUCCUCUCUGCGUCCAAUUCAAAGUGCAGCUUCUCAGGAGCCACCUGAGAACGACCGGUCAACCUGACUGUCCACCCUCCACGUUAAAACUCUCCAACCAUAGUGGAGUUUCCUGAAAGAGAAGAAGCAAAGCAAUUCAUCCUCCGAAAACUGUUCACAGCCUGUCAGCCUCAAGCCUCCGUGGAGAAGGACUUAUCUCCCCCGGUCUUGCCAAGAACCCAACCCGUAGAGACCCCGCGUUUCUCCACCAGCUACAGCCUUGGUUCCAGGACAAACUUUAUCAGUGUUUCUAAAUAAACUGUUAAAAUGC